rnacentral:lncRNA from 1 species
UCGGAUACAUCAUUGGACUCCAAAUUUCUCCCACAAACCUACAGAAAAUUUGAUGUAUGGAAGCAACUUUAAAAAUGUAUUUUGAAAAUGAAUUGCUCAAAUAUUUUACACGACGGUCAGAAAAUCUCCACCUCAAGCUCAUUUUCCAUUUUUAUUCUUAUUUUAUUUCAAAAAAAUAAAGAAAGAAAUAAAAUGAGGGGGCAAUGAGACUCUUCUUUAUUUCUAAGUUUUUAAUUAGUGAUGCCACGGGCUAUUAGAUUACAUUGUGAAGGGGAAACUUGGAUUCAUCAAACGCCAAUGAUGUAAUAGUGAAGUAACAAUUGAGUGGAACAAAGAUGUCCCAACUAAAGGUUAAAAAUACAUAACAAGGCAGCAGUGCAAAUUUACCAAGGGAGCUGAUGAAGGGGUAUCUGUAUUCAAGAUUAUAGAGUGAUUACAAAUUAUUAAAGUGAGGACAGCAGCAAUUAGCAGUUACCAUAGCUUUUUGCAUCAAUUGGCUCUUCCCAUACAAGGUAGGGCCUUUGGGUUAUCUAAAAGAUCUCUUUGUAAUCAGCGCUAGAUUUCAACCUCUAUUAUGAGUGGUCAAUCCGGUACUGCAAUGAUUUGUUAACAUGUUAACAUCAUGACAAAUAGUCAUUCGCCCUUCGAUGUUUCCAAACUAAAUUGCUGUUAAUAAUAAUUAAUAAAACGCAAACCCAACCCACCAAAUUUUAUUGCCUUGGAAGGAAUUGCAAGUUAGAUUUAUGUCAAUGUAUGAAAGCAAAAUCUAAACCUUUCAUUGUCUCAAUAUAGUCUUGAUCCCAUUUCUCAUUUUUGACAAACAAACACAAUUGUACUUCACAUGGAAAGGUAAGAUUUAAAAGUGAGAAGCAACGUGGAAGCAACGGUCUUUCGGUUUAUGUACUAGAUGACCCGAUUUCUGUUGUUAGAAAGCAAACAAAAACCAGCAGCUACAAAGUUUCCAAGUCUUACGUACCUGAAAGAGGGUGUUUGAGUUAGGAAAGUUAAUUUGCGAGUUUCAGUUUCUGGAUUUGUCCUUAUGCACUGAAACUGAGUCAUUUAUUGAAGAUGGCAAUGCUGCUGGUAAUGGUGGUGGAUGGUUUGAGUUUGUUUGUUAGCACAGUUUGGAGUCUGCAGGAGCGGCGGUUCUCUUCGACGUUUGAAGCUGUGAGCUCUGCUGCAGUCUCACUGACCAUGGCGCUUGUGGUCUGCUUCUUGUCCACACAAAGUCACAGUAGAGGAGAUAUGUUUCUUCCCUUCAUUUGAUCUUCGUUCUAAUUCAAUGCGUCUCUCUUGUAUUUAUAUUCGGCAUUUUGUUUAUUUGGUUUUAGUUCAGCAGCGGUCGUUGGGUCAGUAAAAUUAAUUUAUUGUCAUUCUGUACGUGUGGUACAGUAAAUGGUAAUUCAGCUAUCUCCUGACUCUGUUCUUUAUGAAGACAUACAAUUAGAUGGUGCUGUGAGAUGAAAGAAAACUGGGAAUGCCUAUUAGGGAGAGUUUCCGAUGUCAUAGAUUUGGAUGGUACACUUCUUUUGAGUUACCAACUGCCCCGAUAAUAAUUAAUAAAUAAUUCAUGAGAGACGCCAUUUCUAAAGAUCGUAGAUUUUAGAGUGAGAUGGCUUGUUAUUCAAACUUUAUAGGUAAGUGACAUGUGCACCUUGCGAGAAAUGAACCGUAGGCAACUGUAACCAGAUAAGCAAUUGAAAAUGAGUGAUGUUAAACUUUCAUUGCUAUGAUCAAAUAUCUACAUUUCCUCCAUCGAACUUCACAAGCAAUCCUAUAUAUUUCUUUCUGCAGAUUAAAGCUAUCCUCAUCUCCUUUAAUUCCAACCUCUUUACCGCUUCUUUCAUCUGUUUUAGCUACGAAAACCUGACCGCUAUGCUUGCUUACCAAUGUAUAUUCUCAAGUGCGGGUGCCGUGUUUUUUUUUUUUAAG